rnacentral:rRNA from 1 species
GUGGGGAAUCUUCCGCAAUGGACGAAAGUCUGACGGAGCAACGCCGCGUGAGUGAAGAAGGUUUUCGGAUCGUAAAGCUCUUUCGUUAGGGACGAACGUGCUCUUUGUGAAUAAUGAGGAGUAAUGACGGUACCUAAAUAAGAAGCCACGGCUAACUACGAGCCAGCAGCCGCGGUAAUACGUAGGUGGCAAGCGUUGUCCGGAAUUAUUGGGCGUAAAGCGCGCGCAGGCGGGAUAUCAAGUCUGUCUUAAAAGUGCGAGGCUCAACCUCGUGAGGGGACAGAAACUGGUAUUCUUGAGUGUCGGAGAGGAAAGUGGAAUUCCAAGUGUAGCGGUGAAAUGCGUAGAGAUUUGGAAGAACACCAGUGGCGAAGGCGACUUUCUGGACGAUGUCUGACGCUGAGGCGCGAAAGCUAGGGGAGCGAACGGGAUUAGAUACCCUAGUAGUCC